rnacentral:lncRNA from 1 species
AUGAUACCAGUUAAUCAUUCCUGAUAUGGUGAGCAGUGAAAAACAGCAGCACCUGUGAAGAAGCAAAAGGCAAUCUGCUUCAGGAGCUCCCAGAAACACUUGUGAGUCAUGGGCUUGAAAUUUGGCCCCUUCCACUUAGCACCAAGAGGAAUGUCUUCUCUGCCAGAUACAGAUUAUCAUUUCUUGCUGGCUUUGAACGUAUUGGUACAUGAGACAGAGACCAGUCUCCACUGACUCCAUGAUCAUUUACUGAAUUAAUUACCCUAUGACUGUAGCGAUUCAAAUCCAGUUCCCACCUGCUCUCUCCCUCCCAUACUAACCUGCCUAUAUCUCCAGGCUGUAUCUGUUAUCCUAUCAGCAUUCGACAACGUAGGAUACCUUGUGCUUGAAGGUUCGGAGGAAACUGUCAUUCAUGAGACACUUCUGUACCUGCAAACACGUUCUUCCUGGAGACUGUGUGUUCUCUCUGAAGAGAGAGCUGAUAAAUCUCCUUUAUUUCCCAGAAAGAAGACCUUUUAUAAAAUUCUCUGGCUUAACUGUAAGCUUCUAACUGCACUAGGAGUAACCCACUCUGUAAAGAAUGGAAGGAGAAACAUGGAAAGAGAAAGAGAUUCAACAAGAUUUUACCCCUGUAUUUUGUGCCCUUAAAUGAGGCUUUUUAUUCUUUGUAGUACUAGCAAGUGUAAUUAUUUCAUUUCUGCCUUAAUGGACCAGAAAAAAAAAUCAGCUUAUAAUAAGUAAUUAAAAAAAAAAAAGGCUACUGUUGUUACGUGUGUGCUUAUGCAUGUAUGUAUGCAUAGUACUGCACUGUUUAUUUGCAGGGCUUUCUUUUUUAAGUUGGAGCAUUGAUACAGAAGGUUCAUGGCCCGUCCAGUAUACAAGUGAUAAACAGUAGGUCUGCUGCUACAAGUACUUGUAUUUUAGUCACUUCAAUAUUCGGCCUUAAAGUGUUAAACUAGUAAUAAAUGGAAUUUGAUGUGAUAACUCA